UGGGGAAUAUUGGACAAUGGGCGAAAGCCUGAUCCAGCCAUGCCGCGUGUGUGAAGAAGGUCUUCGGAUUGUAAAGCACUUUAAGUUGGGAGGAAGGGCAGUAAGCGAAUACCUUGCUGUUUUGACGUUACCGACAGAAGAAGCACCGGCUAACUCUGUGCCAGCAGCCGCGGUAAUACAGAGGGUGCAAGCGUUCAUAGGAAUUACUGGGCGUAAAGCGCGCGUAGGUGGUUCGUUAAGUUGAAUGUGAAAGCCCCGGGCUCAACCUGGGAACUGCAUCCAAAACUGGCGAGCUAGAGUAGGGCAGAGGGUGGUGGAAUUUCCUGUGUAGCGGUGAAAUGCGUAGAUAUAGGAAAGAACACCAGUGGCGAAGGCGACCACCUGGGCUCAUACUGACACUGAGGUGCGAACGCGUGGGGAGCAAACAGG
rnacentral:rRNA from 1 species